UUAAAUCCAGAAUUUAAUCAUGAAAGAAGAUCAUAAAAUAUUUGACGAUAUUCCUUAAAGAGAAAAGUGAUCGAGAGUCUGAUUGAACCAGUGUUCUUCUUUGGUCAAGUAUUUGUUGUUCUGUGAACUGAUUUGCUAAAGAAGCUGAGAAUUUGAGAUUCCCUUUGAGAUUCUAAGCAACGCCGCCAUCAUCGUCAUCAUCUUAUAAUCAGUAUCAAAGGCAAGAUAAAUGGUUGUAGAAUUUUGUUUCAAUUUAUAUCCAUGAGGGCGGCGUGGAAAUUGCCAAGAGGGAUGAUGUAGGGUAUAG
rnacentral:lncRNA from 1 species